rnacentral:ncRNA from 1 species
AGCGAAGCUGCCUAGCUACUGUAGAAUUAUGCUCACGAUACACAAAAAUGAGCUCCCACGGAUGGGAGCUCAAGGAGAACCGCGCCAUAGACGUCGCGGUUCGACGGUUUUGUCGGGCAUAGAAGCCCUAAAAGCAUAAUUCAUACAGUAUCUUGGCAGCAUAGC